GCUAGGCAUGGUGGCACAUGCCUGUAGUCCCAGCUACUGGGGAGGCAGAGUCAGGAGGAUCACUUGAGCCUAGGAUUUUGGGGCUGCAGUGAGCUAUGAUCAUGCCACUGCAUGUCAGCCUGGGUGAAAGAGUGAGAUCUUGCCUCUA
ensembl:misc_RNA Metazoa_SRP Metazoan signal recognition particle RNA